AGACUUACUUGGCAGGGGAAAUACCAUGAUCACGUAGGCAGUUUUCCUAGGACAAGGCUUAUCAUUCCACUCCAGUUCUGCUAUCCUCUGAGGUUUCCCCAAAUGUGGGAAACUUGGCUGCAUAUUUGUAGCAAUGGGGGAACUAUUUUCCCACU
ensembl:snRNA U1 U1 spliceosomal RNA